rnacentral:tmRNA from 2 species
GGGGGCGCACUGGUUUCGACGGGGAUGUGGAAGCCGAUGCGGCAGGCCGAGGCGCCGCUGGCCUCGUAAAAAGCGGCAACAAAGUAAUUGCCAACAACGAUUACGAAUACGCUUGCGCUGCCUAGUGCGGCAAAGCACCUGACCGCAUAGACGGUCACGUCGGAAGGGCUGACGCCUGAUACGUUUUUCCGGCGACACUUCAUCAGGCUGGCGAGGUUCGGCGUCCGCCGGGAAACUCGCGAGGAUUGUUUCCGGCGGACUGGUUGUGCUGCGCCCGGGCGGAGGUUACCGGCACGACGAGAUAUAAGUCCGUCCUAAGCCUGUAGAAGCUUCGCGUGGAAUGUUCUCGGACGGGGGUUCAACUCCCCCCGCCUCCACCA